rnacentral:miRNA from 1 species
GACCUACAGGCUGGUUUGCCUGGGACUAAGGGGUUGACCGGGAUGCGGGACUUGCAGAGCUAGAACUGGGUCAG